rnacentral:rRNA from 1 species
GCUGAACUUAAGCAUAUCAAUAAGCGGAGGAAAAGAAACUAACAAGGAUUCCCCUAGUAACGGCGAGUGAAGCGGGAAGAGCUCAAAUUUGAAAUCUGGUAGCCUUCGGUUGCCCGAGUUGUAAUCUAGAGAAGUGUUUUCCGCGUUGGCCCAUGUACAAGUCCCUUGGAACAGGGCGUCAUAGAGGGUGAGAAUCCCGUCCUUGACAUGGACCCCCAAUGCUUUGUGAUACACUUUCAACGAGUCGAGUUGUUUGGGAAUGCAGCUCAAAAUGGGUGGUGAAUUCCAUCUAAAGCUAAAUAUUGGCGAGAGACCGAUAGCGAACAAGUACCGUGAGGGAAAGAUGAAAAGCACUUUGGAAAGAGAGUUAAACAGUACGUGAAAUUGUUGAAAGGGAAACGAUUGAAGUCAGUCAUGCUCUUUGGAUUAAGCCGUUCUGCGGUGUAUUUCAUUGAGCGGGGUCAACAUCAGUUUUGAUCGCUGGAAAAGGGCAGGAGGAAGGUAGCACUCUCGGGUGAACUUAUAGCCUCUUGUCGUAUACAGUGAUUGGGACUGAGGAACGCAGCAUGCCUUUUGGCCGGGAUUCGUCCACGUACAUGCUUAGGAUGUUGACAUAAUGGCUUUAAACGACCCGUCUUGAAACACGGACCAAGGAGUCUAAC